rnacentral:rRNA from 1 species
UAGGGAAUCUUCGGCAAUGGGGGCAACCCUGACCGAGCAACGCCGCGUGAGUGAAGAAGGUUUUCGGAUCGUAAAGCUCUGUUGUAAGUCAAGAACGAGUGUGAGAGUGGAAAGUUCACACUGUGACGGUAGCUUACCAGAAAGGGACGGCUAACUACGUGCCAGCAGCCGCGGUAAUACGUAGGUCCCGAGCGUUGUCCGGAUUUAUUGGGCGUAAAGCGAGCGCAGGCGGUUUGAUAAGUCUGAAGUUAAAGGCUGUGGCUCAACCAUAGUUCGCUUUGGAAACUGUCAAACUUGAGUGCAGAAGGGGAGAGUGGAAUUCCAUGUGUAGCGGUGAAAUGCGUAGAUAUAUGGAGGAACACCGGUGGCGAAAGCGGCUCUCUGGUCUGUAACUGACGCUGAGGCUCGAAAGCGUGGGGAGCGAACAGGAUUAGAUACCCUGGUAGUCCACGCCGUAAGCGAUGAGUGCUAGGUGUUGGAUCCUUUCCGGGAUUCAGUGCCGCAGCUAACGCAUUAAGCACUCCGCCUGGGGAGUACGACCGCAAGGUUG